GAUGAAGAACGUAGCGAAAUGCGAUACUUGGUGUGAAUUGCAGAAUCCCGUGAACCAUCGAGUCUUUGAACGCAAGUUGCGCCCGAAGCCAUUAGGCCGAGGGCACGCCUGCCUGGGCGUCACACGUCGUUGCCCCCCCAUCUACUCCUUCGGGAUUGCGGGGGGCGGAUGAUGGCCUCUCGUGCGCCUCGUCGCGCGGUUGGCCUAAAUGCCAAGUCCUCGGCGACGCACGCCACGACAAUCGGUGGUUGCGAAACCUCGGUUGCCUGUCGUGUGUGGUCGUCGCGCAUCGAGGGCUCGAAAAAAUUGCCGGGCUUCGGCUCGACUUUCAACGCGACCCCAGGUCAGGCGGGGUUACCCGCUGAAUUUAAGCAUAUCAAAAGGAGGA
rnacentral:misc_RNA from 1 species